CCUACGGGAGGCAGCAGUGGGGAAUAUUGGACAAUGGGGGGAACCCUGAUCCAGCCAUGCCGCGUGUGUGAAGAAGGCCCUCGGGUUGUAAAGCACUUUCAGUGAGGAAGAACGCCUGGUGGUUAAUACCCAUCAGGAAAGACAUCACUCACAGAAGAAGCACCGGCUAACUCCGUGCCAGCAGCCGCGGUAAUACGGAGGGUGCGAGCGUUAAUCGGAAUUACCGGGCGUAAAGCGCGCGUAGGUGGCUUGAUAAGCCGGUUGUGAAAGCCCCGGGCUCAACCUGGGAACGGCAUCCGGAACUGUCAAGCUAGAGUGCAGGAGAGGAAGGUAGAAUUCCCGGUGUAGCGGUGAAAUGCGUAGAGAUCGGGAGGAAUACCAGUGGCGAAGGCGGCCUUCUGGACUGACACUGACACUGAGGUGCGAAAGCGUGGGUAGCAAACAGGAUUAGAUACCCGAGUAGUC
rnacentral:rRNA from 1 species